rnacentral:rRNA from 1 species
UACGGAGGGGGCAAGCGUUGUUCGGAAUUAUUGGGCGUAAAGGGCGUGUAGGCGGCCGGAUAAGUCGGAUGUGAAAUCCCUCAGCUCAACUGAGGAACUGCAUUCGAUACUGUCUGGCUAGAGUCCGGGAGAGGGUAGCGGAAUUCCCAGUGUAGCGGUGAAAUGCGUAGAUAUUGGGAAGAACACCGGUAGCGAAGGCGGCUACCUGGACCGGCACUGACGCUGAGGCGCGAAAGCCAGGGGAGCGAAUGGG